CUCAUGGUUUCACGGUAUUGCAAUGAGAACAAUUUAAAACCCUUAGCGAGAAUCAAGUGGAGGACAAGUCUGGUGCCAGCACCCGCGGUAAUUCCAGCUCCACUAGCGUAUAUUAAAGUUGUUGCAGUUAAAAAGCUCGUAGUUGAACCUCUGUCUGGGGCUAGUUUUGGCUUUGGUCAGGCUAGUUCUAGGCAUCCGCCUACAAGACUUAGAGGGCAUUCAGUUGUUCACUAGGAGGAGUAGGCAUUUUACUUUGAAAAAAUUAGAGUGUUUAAGGCAGGCAAUCGCCCGCAUAUAUUAGCAUGGAAUAAUAGAAUAGGACACUUUUCCAUUUCGUUGGUUAUUGGAAUCGUGUAAUGAUUAAUAGGGACAGUUGUGGGCAUUUGUAUUUAAUUGUCAGAGGUGAAAUUCUUGGAUUUAUUAAAGACAGACUAACGCGAAAGCAUUUGCCAAGGAUGUUUUCAUUAAUCAAGAACGAAAGUUAGGGGAUCAAAGACGAUCAGAUACCGUCCUAGUCUUAACUAUAAACUAUUCCGACUCAAUGUUUGACUGGCUUAUAUAACCAGUUGAGCGUUGUAUGAGAAAUCAAAGUCUUUAGGUUCUGGGGGGAGUAUGGUUGCAAAGCUGAAACUUAAAGGAAUUGACGGAAGAGCACAACCAGGAGUGGAUUCUGCGGCUUAAUUUGACUCAACACGGGGAAACUUACCAGGUUAAAACAAUAGUGGGAUUGACAGUUUGAGAGCGCUUUCUUGAUUGGUUGGGUGGUGGUGCAUGGCCGUUCUUAGUUGGUGGAGUGAUUUGUCUGCUUAAUUGCGUUAACGAACGAGACCUUAACCUGCUUACUAGACUGGCGAUCAUCAAUCGUUAGCUCUUCUUAGAGGGACUUUGGUUGUUUUAACUCCAAGGAAGUUUGAGGCAAUAACAGGUCUGUGAUGCCCUUAGAUAUCCUGGGCCGCACGCGUCAUACAAUGACUAGUUCAGAAAGUUUUCUCCUGACCCGAAAGGGGAUGGGUAAUCUUGAUAAUACUAGUCGUGUUAGGGAUCGAUCUCUGCAAUUAUAGAUCUUGAACGAGGAAUUCCUAGUAAGUGCGGUUCAUCAGACCGUACUGAUUACGUCCCUGCUCUUUGUACACACCGCCCGUCGCUUCUACCGAGUGGGUGGUCCGGUGAGAUAAUUGAACUUCGCAGGUAACUGAGAGGAAAGAUUAUCAAACCUAUCCACCU
rnacentral:rRNA from 1 species